GUGCCAGCAGCCGCGGUAAUACGAAGGGUGCAAGCGUUGCUCGGAAUUAUUGGGCGUAAAGGGUUGGUAGGUGGUUACGUAUGUCUGGGGUGAAAUCCCUGAGCUCAACUCAGGAAGUGCCUUGGAAACGGCGUAACUAGAGUGCUAGAGAGGUUCGUGGAAUUCCCAGUGUAGCGGUGAAAUGCGUAGAGAUUGGGAGGAACACCAGAGGCGAAGGCGGCGAACUGGAUAGCAACUGACACUGAACAACGAAAGCGUGGGUAGCAAACAGGAUUAGAUACCCUGGUAGUCCACGCUGUAAACGAUGGGUACUAGGUUUCGUGGGAGUUGACCCCUGCGGAACCGGAGCUAACGCAAUAAGUACCCCGCCUGGGAAGUACGGUCGCAAGACUAAAACUCAAAUGAAUUGACGG
rnacentral:rRNA from 1 species